CCUUAUUUCAUACUGGGAGUGUUUUUUAAAAAUAUCUAAUCAAAAUAUGAAAAGGCAAUUAAAAGGGAAUAAAAGAUGACAGCACAGAAACAUAAGCAACAUGGAAAUCAGGAUAGAAUGUCAAAAAGUAUGCUUAAAAAAAAAAGAAAGAAAAAGAAAGAUUCCACACAGCAGAAAUCCUCAGCCUAUUUGACAGAACUUAGUGCUGGCUGAUCUCCUGAGGCAGAAGAACCCUUUGCAAAUCUCCAUUUGAGAUUUGCAUCUGCUUUAACCUCUACGCAAGUGUCCAACUAGUGUCUUCCAGAGCACACGUCAAUCAAGAAUUCCCUUUUUUAUCUGAGUAGUCUACAAAUCCAAGGGCAUUCAUAAUCACCAACGGUCUAUGAGGAGUGUGAGCCUCACAUUCCAUUUCAAAGUCGACCCUGACAUUUGCAGCUUAUGGCACUCGUGGGAAAGUGUAUGACUGAUUUGCAUUAGCACUGACUCCACGCCCUGGGAAGAGGGAACUGAUGAGCAGAAACUGCUCCAUACAACUGUCUCUGCAUGAGCGGAGAGCUGUCAUGUGUGGGGAAGGCGAGAUCCACCCCCAGCACCUCUAAGGUUCAGAAGCGGGACAGAAGCAGAAGUUACAGGAAGACAGAAUUUACCUUUGUGUGAGGCAGUGCUCUGUAGCCCUGAGGCUACUCCAAGAAGGCCUUUCCUGGGUCUGGAGAGACUGGGUUCAGGGGAAGAAUUCCAGCCCAGGCAGCCUGACCCUCUGCUCGGCUUUGGCAGAACAGACACUGCGAUCGUAAGCUUUCAUCCAACUCCUUCCACCUGUUGUCAUCUUGCUUUGAGCCUCUCCAUUGCUCAGUGGGUGUUGACUGAACCAACCAUGGAUAGUGAAUUAUCAUAGAAUUCACUAUUGAAAAAAAUCCCUAUAUAAGUGGACCUGCUGCGUUCAGACCCAUGUUGUCCAAGGUUGAAUGGUUCUUGAUCAACUCAUUUUCCUGCCUGCUGAUGUACUGCCUUUGGUGCAUUUUCUUCACUGACACAGGAGUGAAUUUUGGUCAAAUUGGGUGAGUGCUCUUAACGCUCACAUUGUUCAACGUCAACUGCACUGCGCAUGUAGGAAAGAAGCUGAGGUCCCAAACACUUACUUGCCUUCGUGUAUCCUACCUGAUUAAAAACUGCUGCCUUCUGGAGCUCCCGUCGUGGCGCAGUGGUUAACGAAUCCAACUAGGAACCAUGAGGUUGUGGGUUCGAUCCCUGGCCUUGCUCAGUGGGUUAAGGAUCCGGCAUUGCCGUGAGCUGGGGUGUAGGCUGCAGACUCGGCUCGGAUCCUACGUUGCUGUGGCUCUGGCGUAGGCCGGUGGCAACGGCUCCAAUUAGACCCCCUAGCCUGGGAACCUCCAUAUGCCACAGGAGCAGCCCUAGAAAAGGCAAAGAGACCAAAAAAAAUAAAUAAAUAAAUAGAUAAAAUAAAAUAAAAAAA
rnacentral:lncRNA from 1 species